rnacentral:rRNA from 1 species
UACGUAGGUGGCAAGCGUUUGUCCGGAUUUACUGGGCGUAAAGAGCGCGCAGGCGGUCGGAUUAGUCGCGUGUGAAAGCCCCCGGCUCAACUGGGGAGGGUCACGCGAUACUGAUCGACUCGAAGGCAGGAGAGGGUAGUGGAAUUCCCAGUGUAGAGGUGAAAUUCGUAGAUAUUGGGAAGAACACCGGUGGCGAAGGCGGCCAUCUGGACCGCAACUGACGCUGAGGCGCGAAAGCGUGGGGAGCAAACAGG